CACGGGGGGAGCAAGCGUUGUUCGGAAUCACUGGGCGUAAAGGGCGUGUAGGCGGUUAGGUAAGUGGAAUGUGAAAUCCCUCGGCUCACCCGAGGACCUGCAUCCCAAACUGCCUGACUUGAGUAUGGGAGAGGAUGAGGGAAUUCCUGGUGUAGCGGUGAAAUGCGUAGAUAUCAGGAGGAACACCGGUGGCGAAGGCGGAGACCUGGGCCGAUACUGACGCUGAGGUGCGAAAGCGUGGGGAGCAAACAGG
rnacentral:rRNA from 1 species